rnacentral:rRNA from 1 species
UACGUAGGUGGCAAGCGUUAUCCGGAUUUAUUGGGUGUAAAGGGCGUGUAGGCGGGAAAGCAAGUCAGAUGUGAAAACUCAGGGCUCAACCCUGAGCCUGCAUUUGAAACUGUUUUUCUUGAGUGCUGGAGAGGCAAUCGGAAUUCCGUGUGUAGCGGUGAAAUGCGUAGAUAUAUGGAGGAACACCAGUGGCGAAGGCGAUUCUCUGGACUGUAACUGACGCUGAGGCUCGAAAGCGUGGGGAGUAAACAGG